CUGAAUCGAAGACUUUGGGAGACUACUUUGCAGCGACAGUUGAUACAUAUUGCGUCUAACGGGUGACCUCGACGAGCCCGCAUGAAAUUAUCGUUCCAUAGCCUAGAUCAGUCAAAGUCCAUAGAAAACAAAAUUAGAAAACUAGGGCAAAAAAAAUUCCAUACUAGAUUAGACGGUGCAUGCACAAGAAGGGUGAGAUGUGGCGAUGUGAUUACUACCUCGAAUUUUAACUGCAGUUAUGUGCUUUGCCGCUGUCGAUCUGCAAUUGUAUGCUUGCCGCCGGCGUUUGAGGAGGCGGGGACCAAGCGGCGGCGAACAUAAGACAGGACGAGACGAGCAGAGGGAGGAAAGUUGGGGGGAAGCGAAGAGGCCGGCGGCUACCGUCAUGGUACAGGCUAUAGAUCGCCAAUAAACUAAAUCAUUGAUAAGUAACGAACAUGCCUCCUAGUGGGCACGAGAGACAAUUUGUACGGGGGCUUAUAGGCCUUUUUACUGGUCCAUUCACGUGGGCUUUGCAGCUUGAUGGGGUCAGGCUUAAUUUUCUAUUGGGUUCAUAUCAAAUAAGUCGUACAUACAUGCACGUAGCCGGCAAAUUUUAUUGGGUUCAACUGAACCCAAUGCCAAUACGUUGGCUCCGCCCCUG
rnacentral:lncRNA from 1 species